AUGAACACUUAAAUUGCCGCGAUUUUCGUGCUAAGGUAGCAUAAUCAUUUGCCUUUUAAUUGGAGGCUAGUAUGAAUGGAUCCACAUGCAACCAUUUUUAUUUUUUUAAUUUCUUUAAAUUUGCAUACAAGUAAAAAGACUUGUAUAUUAAGAAGGACGACAAGACCCUGAUGAACUUUACUUUAAGUUAAGCUGGGGUGGCAACAAAACUAUUUCUUUUAGUUCCUUUCGUAAUUUACUCUUAAGAAUAAACAAGUUACCACAGGGAUAACAGCAUAAUUUUUUCUAAGAGAUCUUAUUUAAGAAAAAGAUUGUGACCUCGAUGUUGAAUUAAUAAUCUAUUAGGAGCAAAAUCUUAAUAAGAAAGUCUG
rnacentral:rRNA from 1 species